AUUCCAGGUCAAAGCUGAGACCUUUACACAUACUAUAAACACUUAAAAGCAUACAUCUUUAUUAUGAGGAAUCCUUAAUACAUUUUAUGUACCAAGAAUUAAUUAUUUUGUUCCUCCUUGAUUCUUUUUCCACUUAAAAAUACUAGUCACAAAUGUCCUUUACUGUUUUAUAGAACAAAAUAAGGGAUAUAUAGCACUAAAUGACAAAUGCAGUCCUGGUUUCACUGGUGGACUCUGAUGGCAGAAGGGGAGAGGGUCUGAUGCUGUUUAACUGCUAAGGUCACAAAGCAUUGGGCAGUGCUAGUUGUGGACAGGAGGCAGCAGCCCCUCAGACCUCCAGAAAAUCUGUUCCAGGAACUCAUAAAAUACUUUAACGCUACAGAUUAGAGAUCAUCCACCACAGAAAUUCUCGCUUGUAAAACAAAAUCACAUUUUUCUUAAUUCUGUCAAGCUUGUGUAAUUGUGUGUUUGUGGAUGAGAAUGCUGUGAGGGAGAGAGGGGGAGAAUGGAAGUUUUCAGACAAUUAAUUUUAUUAUUUUUACUUAAGUUAAUUCGGACUACCCUUUAGUUAGCUCUGAAUCUUUCACACCCAGCAUCACAUACAUCUUCCUUGUAAACAGAAGGACUAAGAGUUAUGAUUUUUUUCAAAAAAAUAAGAAAGCAGUAAAUAAGUAAAUAAAAAAAAAAAAAUCCCAAUCUGGGUUAACAGCACAAGUAUAAACAAAAAAUAAUAUUUCUUUUCAGGUUCUAAGAAAGUCUUAAAUGCACUAAAUAUACACGUGUGGAUUUUUCAAUCAGAGUACCAAAAGCUGAUCUUAGCUAUGUGCUGCGUGGCUUGUAGAAUUAAAUCACUGCUCCACAGGUGUGCAUCAGUGGAGUUAGUUCUGCAAUAUUUUGGGAGACUUUUUUGGUGAGGUCUAAAGUCAGCAUAAAGUAUUGAUUUAACAUUUAACAACCUGCCAAAUUAGAAAAUGUAAUGAGGAAAACCACCACAUCCAUAGCAGUGGUAUAUUACUUAUUCAAUAAAGACGGUACACUGUGUUAGGCUAUGGCAUAUACCAGUGAGAUGUUGGUUAGCAUUUCAUAUAGAACUAUUUCUAAACUAAUACGCUUUUGCAGUAACAUUGUUUGAUCAAAUUUCAAAGAAUUAUACCAGUUUGUUAAAAGAAAACUGGCAACUCCAUUAUGUUAAGAAAGAUACUGGAGUAUAGAUCUGUUGGUAAUCCCCUUGUUCUCAGGAGCUGCACCGUCUCAAAUCAGCACAGUCCUGAAAUAAGAGCUAGCGUUUUGACCUCCGUUGCCAGGACACUUGUUUGAAUCUGGCCAACAUUAAUUGUGUGUAGUCAAUAGCAUUUAUAAAUCAGUCGGAGGCUGUGUGUUCAUUUCAGUUUGUGUUUCCUGGGGCAAACCAUCAGACCUCAAAUACAACCAGUGUAUUUUUUUCUGACCUGGAUAUUAUUCACUGACUAUUAGGAGAGAAACUGGUGGUCAAAUGAAUAGAAAUACUGUCAUUGUUACCGAUGAUGAUAACAGGAUGUAAGACUGUCAUGUUAGCCCUAUUUUUCCUAAGUUAAUAUAUAUUUUGUCCAAGAUUUGCUUAAAUAUUCUUAAUUUAAGCAAAACCUGACCAAAUUAUGCAAUAGACACUUAGAAUGAAAGCACCUGUUGUCGUCUGAAUUUCUUUUGAUAGCUGUCCCAUCUUUCUUUCCCUCUUUUCUCAGUCAGUGAGGUUCCUAUCCCUCAUCCGAUCUUUCUUUGCUGAAUUAAAAUACUUGUGCCUUGGAACUAAUUUAUAUCAGCACAAAGUGUUACAAAAUCAGAUCAAUAGGAUUUUAUACCUCCUUCAGUGUGAUGAAUGACAUAUAAGUGACAUAUAAGAAGGCAAACCUUUUGGGCUGGUGGGUGGAACGUGUCCAUUCGCAUCUACUGCUAGCAGAUGGAAUGUGUUCAUUUACAUCUACUGCUACUAGUUCUAUAUAACACUACUCAACAGAUCAUUAAGGUUUGUGGUCAGUUUUUGGGUUCAGUUCUUGGGGACUUUUUUCUCAACUAGCAGCCUAAUUUUCAUUCUUUGGGAAUCUGUUAUUCUUUGAUGGGUAAUGAGUGAUUCAGUAGAAGGAAGCAGGAAUAGUUCAAUUUCACAAGCCUUUUUAAUUCAGGGUUAGAGGAUGAAAGAGAAGAACCUACAGAACCUGAGAGCUAGGGCCCUUAGGAUUUAGCUAAGGCCAGCUUUCUCAUCUGUGGAGUUGUUUUUUUUCAUUAUAUCUGACAUUUUUUGAGGGUGAGUUUUGUUACAGUCUAUUAGCCUAUGGCACUGGGCUGGGAAGAUGAGACUUCACUGAGAUACAGAACACAUGAAAAAAAAAAAAAAAAGAGUGAACAAUUGAAAUUACAGGGUUAUUGGUAUCUUGUUGUCAAGGUAGCUUGAGGUUGGUUUUGUACAGAGAGGAAUUCAGCUUGCUUUUGUGUGUGAUACUGUGAAAUGAAUUCAGUGCCCAGUGUGCUCCAAUACUAAUUAUGAAACUUUCUAAAAACAAAGAACAAAACCAAACCAAUUCUUCCUAGCUUACUUUCACUGUUUAACUCUUGUCAUGCCUUUUUGGGACCACUGUAUUUGAUAAGAGUGAAGGUUUUAAAUAUGAUCAAUUACAGUAUGUAUCUUUCUGUCCUGGGUUACACAUAUUCAUGGAUGGCACAGGAGGGAGAGUUUUGUAUGAGAUCAUUACUCGAGGAUCUAACUUAGGACAUUCAAGAGUCAAGUUCCUGAUUUCACUGCCAUUUACUUUGAGAGGAGUGAGCAUGUGUCAGCAAGGAGCUAAUAACUGCCUGAGUAGCUGCUAGGCAGAUUAUCAAGUAAAACAGUAAUACCACAGCCAUCAAACAAUUUGUUAAAUAAAGGGGGAUCCAAGAAACGAUACUUCUAGGUCAAAUUUAGAGAACCUUUGAGCAAUUUCAAAAUAUCUUUAUUCAGCCUCCGUGAAUACAUGCAAGAGAUGAAGCCAGUGAGUAGAUGGCUGCUGUCUACAGAAGGUCUAUAUUCAAUAAGCACAGGAAAGAUUUCAAAACUGUCUUGGUGAAUACUGUCUGGAAAAAAAAAUAGAUAUUGGUCCAACAUGUUUAUAUUCAAGGUAGUAUAUUUAGGCAAGAUUACAAAAUGGGAACAAAUGGCUUGGUAGCAGUUUGUAUCAAGGACUGUAAAUUUAGUGUGAGAUAUCAAAAGUAUUGCUGUGAGUACAGCAGGUGUCCUAUGAAAUGUAUCAAUAGAUGUAUAACCAGGACUUGGAAAACAACUUUUCUAUUGUGCUGCUUACCUUCAGUACUACGACUAGUUUUAGUUCCUGAGUGUUAGGUAAAAAAGUCGGGGUCACUAGAAGAUUUUUUACAUACUUAAAGACUUCUCUCAAACCUCUUUCGUGUUCUCCCAUUGAUGUUGAAUGGGUCAGUUCUUUCAGCACAUGCUCUUUGUUGCAUUUUCUGGAUCUCUGGUAUGUUUUUCUCCUCUGAAAUAAGUCUUUAAAUAUGUUUAAAUAUGCUAUAAGAGGAAGGAAAUAAUCUAUUCUCUAUAUCAAUGGUAAUUGAACAGGCACUAUUGGAUUUAUAUUGCAGCAAGAAAAUUCAGAUUAGUUACUAGAAAAACCUUUUAAAGAUAAUAAUGAGUUAUUGGAACAGAUAGCCUGAGGAAGUUUUACAAUCCCAGUAGUUGGAAGUUUUUAAAAGACAGUCUAGACAAAUAUCUGUCAAGACUGAUACGUUUGAUCUUGCUGUGGGACAGAGGAUGGAUGAAAUGACCUCUUGAGGUCCCUUCCAGCCUUGCUAGGAAUCCAUAAAAUCAUCUUUAAGCUCCCAGGGGAGAAAAGAAAUAUCCAAGCACAGAGAAUCUGCUACAAAUGACCUUUGAUAAUUUCAUUGACAAAAAUUUGGAAGUGGUCUCAGAGUACAGCUAGUAAUGAUGAGAUAAAAUUCUCCAAGCUAAUACUAAUCAGUAGUUUCUUCAAUCAUAAUUCUUAUAAACACAUUUCUAGGUUAACUCUGUGCACUGUGACUUACGUUAAGGCUUCUUGCUGAACAUAAGAUUAAGAUUCUAUGAUUGCAGAAGAGUAUUAGUUUGAAAAGAAAAAAACAA